UACGGAGGGUGCAAGCGUUAAUCGGAAUUACUGGGCGUAAAGCGCACGUAGGCGGUUAGGUAAGUCGAAUGUGAAAGCCCCGGGCUCAACCUGGGAAUUGCAUUCGAUACUGCUUGACUAGAGUAUGACAGAGGAAUGCGGAAUUCCAGGUGUAGCGGUGAAAUGCGUAGAUAUCUGGAGGAACAUCAGUGGCGAAGGCGGCAUUCUGGGUUAAUACUGACGCUGAGGUGCGAAAGCGUGGGGAGCAAACAGG
rnacentral:rRNA from 1 species